UUAUACAUGAGGUCCAGGUGGCCAAGACGAAAUCCUGGAAUUGUGGACAGCUCUUCCAAUGAUCUGAGUCCAAGCAGAGCCAAGAAAAGCACUGUCCUGCAGAUAGCAGCUUCUAGACCAGAAGAACAUUUGGAUGAAUGAAAUGUUGAAGAAGAAAGACAGCUGGAAGAAAGACAGCAAAUAGUCUUCAUGGCAGGUUUCUCUCUUAAUUUCAGUGGCCAUUCAGGAAUUUGAAGCAAGACUGCAGCAGCUUAAAUCACAGGUUGGGAUUCAUGCCUAGAACUUGAAUGGAAGAGUGACAGAAAAUAGGGAUAUUUAAGAAGUUCUUUUCUUCCUCCAAAAAAAUAUGAGAGUAUCCUCCAGUCAAUUGUAAUGAGGGGGUUGGCAAAACAUAUCCAUUUAAAGAGCAGAAAGCUCUUCUCACCUCAGCUAGUCACGCACAUUGCUUAUGGACCAGAAGGAUAGACGGACAAAUGAGGAAAUGUCUGAAAGAUCAAAAGGAAACAGAAAAUCUGGAGGACAAGUUUCUGACUUAAAGAGCCUCGUUGGACUUAGAAAUGUAUUGGCACAUUCUGGGGCAGCCUACUCCAUUGCUGACAGUGUGCUCUGUGUUAUCUUCAUUGCUCAACUGCAGGCAGGACAGAUCAUUAUGUUUGAAAAUGCAGAAGUGAUUACAUAGAGCAGUCUCUUUUCCUUUCCCCUCCAUGUUCCUCAAGAGUGCAGAAUUUAUUACCCCACAUUAAUUUUGCCUCUAUUCAACAUGAAAAUGUAGUGACAACUACAAACCGUGCUAAUCAAUGAUGUACUGAUGACAAAAUAACACUCAUGAAAUACAACUCAAAAAACCCAGUAUGCUGUUGCUUACUCUAUCCAGGUUUGAACGUAACUAGGAAAUGGUUUGGAGUUUAUGCACUUCAUAUACAUAACGGUUUCAGAAUCACAGAUCCUAAAUUGCCCACAUCACAGCCUUCUCAGCCACCAAUGAAGCAGCUUGAUCAUUAAAAACAACAUUCACAACAGAAACAGGCAUUCCUAAAUUACCAUCCUAAUGUCAUCCAAUCCACUCAUGACGUUCUAGCAUGAAGCAUCUUGCUAGAAUAAUCUGCCAGUCUUUGGCUAAUGUCAGAGCUACACAAAUAUUUGCAAAUAUUUCACAUUUUAAAGUACAGCCUCAACUGAUCAUUUUUUAGACAGAUGGCUGAUUUUUUGCAAUAUAUUUUGGGUAGAAAUAAACCCAUAAGCUUUUUUAGAAACAAACCUGUUUCUGAACAAACCAAUUUCUAAUUUUUUAGAACCAAGCAGGCUACAUUUCUGUCUUAUAUUACGUUAUAUUGAUUUCAAUUUUCAUUAAAUAAAAUAACUUGCACUUUCAA